rnacentral:lncRNA from 1 species
AUUUUAUCUCCUGCUUGUAGGUUUUAACUGGUUAUUAGUUUUCUUCAUGUGUUUUGGAAUUUUGGCAUGCAGGUUCAUUUUGCAUUGUUGUUUUCCUCUUUCUUUUUAUUCCUUGGUCUUGCUUUCUUUCUGGGCUAAUCCUACCCUCAGUAGUCAUUUUGUGGUUGCCUAAUACAGAUGUGAUUGCUAAUAUAGAGCCAGGUCUUAUGUUGAGGGCUUGGGCUCCAGCCCUGUGGUGAUACUAAAGAGAGAGUAAAUCCUAUCACCAAGGAAGUAGGGAAGUUGGUCCUGGGUUUGGGACUACAUCUUCAUUCUUUCACUGCCAUUGGUAAGUGACUAUAAGUAAGGAAUAGAAACAGAAAGUGAUUAAUGGAAACAUUUUUAGUCUUUUUUUUUUGGCAGAAAAUCUUGCUCCAGUCCCUAGAUUUGAGCAGUAAACUCAUCUCAGGUCCCAUUGGAUUGACAGCUUCAUCCAACUUCUUGGUUGAGAUUGUAUCACAUGUAUGGAGCUGUAAUGGAAAAGAACAUUUUCAUCUACUGCUGUCAUAUUGCAGAAACUAUAUUGGAUUUGAAAUCAAGCCAUCUGAUUUGAGGAAUAGUUCCAUCCCAUAAUGGACAUAUAAUCUUCAGUAAGUUACUUGACUUCUUUAAAACUUGGAUUUCUCUUCUUUAAAUUGGGGCCAUGUGACUUCAGAAAUAUGAAUAGAACUGAAGCAUUUGAGAGCUUGUGCAUAAUUCUCCAAUCGCCUGCCAUGUGACUAUUGAUGUUCCAGGUGGCAGAGUCUCCAUCAGCCUGUGUCCCUGAGUGAUGGUACUACAAUGGACAUGUAAGAGAAUCCUGUGUGCCAUUAGCAAGAAGCUAGCUUUUUAAUGUUAGAUCACUGAAUUUUGGGGGUUAUGUGUUACUGUGACAUAACCUUGCCUAUACUAGCUAAUAUAAAGAGAAGAAAAGAAAUAAGGCAGAAACUGGAAGAAAAUGUAAGUCUUAAAGAGGAUAAUUUUUGGAUGAAGAAAGUUGAACCUACUUACAGGCUGAAGAGAUGGAGCUAAUAGAGAAGGACACAUUGAAUCUAUGGGAGAGAGUAUGGGAGAUCACUGAAUGAUCAACGUCCAGAGAGGCAGGCUGGCUUUAAACAGGAGGAGAGAGACUUCACCUCUGAGGCUGGAUGAAAAGAAGUAAGGAUGAGAGGAUGGAGAUGCUUGUAGAUUGUGGGGUGAGAUGUUGAGGAAACUCACCCUGAUCACUCAUUUUUUUUGGUUAAGCAUUAGGUAAGCUUAUCUGCUAAGAGGUGGGAAGAUGUGACUUGGAUAAAAAGAACUAGAGGAAGUUGGGCCAGUAAAGAUUUGAAAUGGUUGCUAAUGAGAAUGAGAAAGGUAGCUGACCAAGGACAAAUAAAGAUCCUGUCCAUCUCUUGCACUCAGUUGUGAGUUCCUUGAGGGCAUAGGCUGUGUCUUUAUCCCUCUAUAUUCUCAAUAUCAAACACAGUGUCUGACAUACUGGGAGUGCUCAAGAAAUUCUUGCCAAAAAUGUGACUGCCAGUCAUUGUUAUUUGAUUCAUAGUUUUGGCAUUGAAUGGCUGGUUUUUUUUCCCUUUCUCUUAAAAUAUCAGCUUGCCCUAGGCCUACACUUACUUGUUCCCUAUAAAAUUGUUAUUAAAAGCAACAAAAACAAAAUCCAGUUCCCACUUGGAACACUAAAUUCCAAACACCCAGGAAGCAAAUGCACAGACAGAGUAAGCCUCUGAUUAGUUAUGUUCCUGCCGCUGUAUUUGAAACUCUUUCAUUGGUGAUGGCAACUUUUCAAAAGAAAAUUUAACAGAGAAGCGUUCAUCAUGUUAAGUUCUCAUCCAAGGCAGUUAGCAUUGGAAUGCAUUUGCAGUGUGAAUUACAGUUAACAUUCUAAAGAGAUGUGAAUUUUUAGGAUGCCUGAUGUUGGCAAUUAAACUUUGGAGGAGUUAACACCAUGGCCCCAUUUUUAAUAAAGUGUGUGCAUUUAAAAAAACUUAAAAAAAUUGCCAAAAUAAUGCGUGCCUAUUGUAACCAUAAAACAAUGUAAACAUAUAAAAAGAAUAAGUUACAAAUGUCCGCCUUCUUCAUGCCUAUCCAUUGGAGAUGAUGAUGACAGCUUGAUGUGUAUUCUUUUUAUGCUUUUCUCUAUGCUUAUACAAAUGUGGAGCUGUAAGCAGAACUUUGUGUUAUUGUCUUAUGUUUUACUAAAACUACAUUCAUUGCUCUGCAACUUGCAUAUAUAAUUGUAAAAUAUAUCAUGGAUAAUUCCCCCAGAUUAAUUACUAUAGGUCUAAUUGUAUACUCCAAUGUAUUAAAUUAUGUCCCUAUUCAUGAAGACUCAGAUUUACUAGUUUUCGGUAGCUUUAAAUAAAGCUGCAAUAAAUGUCCUUGGAUGUACCCCUUCAGGUUUAUUUAUUUC